rnacentral:rRNA from 1 species
CCCUUAGAUGUUCUGGGCUGCACGCGCGCUACACUGAAGCUAUCAACACGUUUUCCCUCCCUGAGAAGGGCGGGUAACCUUUUGAAUCAGCUUCGUGGUAGGGAUCGGGGCUUGCAAUUGUUCCCCGUGAACCAGGAAUUCCUAGUAGACGCGAGUCAUAAGCUCGCAUCGAUUAAGUCCCUGCCCUUUGUACACACCGCCCGUCGCUACUACCGAUUGAACGUUUUAGUGGGGCAUUUGGACCGACGCAUCCCAGUUUAACCGCUGGUUUGUGUUGGAAAGACUUCCAAACUUGAGCGUUUAGAGGAAGUAAAAGUCGUAACA